rnacentral:tRNA from 1 species
AGGACCCGUAGUAUAAUAGUAUAACUAGUUUCGGCCUAGUUGGUGGAGGUAGACUCCUCCCGGGUCUUA